rnacentral:rRNA from 1 species
UGAUGACGAGACGCUAAGGCGUUGAAGCAGUGUAUGUCAGACUUCCAAGAAAAGCUCGCAAUGUCACAAAUAAAAGAUGCCUGUACCAUAACCGACACAGGUGGGUAGGUAGAGUAUACUAAGGGGCGCGAGAUAACUCUCUCUAAGGAACUCGGCAAAAUGACUCCGUAACUUCGGGAGAAGGAGUGCCUUAUUUAUAAGGUUGCAAUAACAAGAUCCAAGCAACUGUUUAUCAAAAACACAGGUCUCCGCUAAGUCGUAAGACGAUGUAUGGGGGCUGACGCCUGCCCAGUGCCAGAAGGUUAAAGAAGUUGGUUAGUGUAUGCGAAGCUGAUGACUGAAGCCCUGGUGAACGGCGGCCGUAACGAUAACGGUCCUAAGGUAGCGAAAUUCCUUGUCGGGUAAGUUCCGACCCGCACGAAAGGCGUAAUGAUUUGGAUACUGUCUCGGAGAGAGGCUCGGUGAAAUAGACUUGUCUGUGAAGAUGCGGACUACCUGCACCAGGACAGAAAGACCCUAUGAAGCUUUACUGUAACUUGAAAUUGGAAUUGGACUUUGCUUGCGCAGUAUAGGUGGGAAGCGUUGAAAAUAUUCUUGCGGGAGUAUUGGAGCUAUCAGUGAGAUACCACUCUUGUAAUGUUAGAUUUCUAACUUUGAACCAUAAUCUGGUCAAAGAACAGUUUCAGGUGGGCAGUUUGACUGGGGCGGUCGCCUCCCAAAUGGUAACGGAGGCGUACAAAGGUUUCCUCUGAACGGAUAGAAAUCGUAUCUAGAGUGUAAAGGCAUAAGGAAGCUUGACUGUGAGACCUACAAGUCGAGCAGGGACGAAAGUCGGUCUUAGUGAUCUGACGGUACUGAGUGGAAAGGCCGUCACUCAACGGAUAAAAGUUACUCUAAGGAUAACAGGCUGAUCUCCCCCAAGAGUUCACAUCGACGGGGAGGUUUGGCACCUCGAUGUCGGCUCAUCGCAUCCUGGGGCGGUAGUACGUCCCAAGGGUUGGGCUGUUCGCCCAUGAAAGCGGUACGCGAGCUGGGUUCAGAACGUCGUGAGACAGUUCGGUCCAUAUCCGGUGUAGGCGCUAGAAUAUUGAGAGGAGCCUUCUUUAGUACGAGAGGACCGAGAAGGACACACCGCUGGUGUACCAGUUAUCGUGCCAACGGUAAACGCUGGGUAGCUAUGUGUGGAGUGGAUAACCGCUGAAAGCAUCUAAGUGGGAAGCCCACCUCGAGAUGAGUAUUC